UGGGGAAUAUUGGACAAUGGGCGCAAGCCUGAUCCAGCAAUACCGCGUGUGUGAAGAAGGCCCUAGGGUUGUAAAGCACUUUCAAUAGGGAGGAAUACCUGCUGGUUAAUACCCAGCAGACUGACAUUACCUAUACAAGAAGCACCGGCUAACUCCGUGCCAGCAGCCGCGGUAAUACGGAGGGUGCAAGCGUUAAUCGGAAUUACUGGGCGUAAAGCGUGCGUAGGCGGCUUGCUAAGCCAGAUGUGAAAGCCCUGGGCUCAACCUGGGAACUGCAUUUGGAACUGGCAAGCUAGAGUUGAGUAGAGGUAAGUGGAAUUUCAGGUGUAGCGGUGAAAUGCGUAGAUAUCUGAAGGAACACCAGUGGCGAAGGCGACUUACUGGACUCAAACUGACGCUG
rnacentral:rRNA from 1 species